GAUGAACGCUGGCGGCGUGCUUAACACAUGCAAGUCGAACGGGAAACCUUUUAUUGAAGCUUCGGCAGAUUUAGCUGGUUUCUAGUGGCGGACGGGUGAGUAACGCGUGGGUAACCUGCCUUAUACAGGGGGAUAACAACCAGAAAUGGUUGCUAAUACCGCAUAAGCGCACAGGACCGCAUGGUCCGGUGGGAAAAACUCCGGUGGUAUAAGAUGGACCCGUGUUGGGUUUGCUGGUUGGCAGGGUAAUGGCCUACCAAGGCGACGAUCCAUUGCCGGGAUGAGAGGGUGAACGGCCACAUUGGGACUGAGACACGGACCAGACUCCUACGGGAGGCAGCAGUGGGGAAUAUUGCACAAUGGGGGAAAACCUGAUGCAGCGACGCCGCGUGAAGGAAGAAGUAUCUCGGUAUGUAAACUUCUAUCAGCAGGGAAGAUAGUGACGGUACCUGACUAAGAAGCCCCGGCUAACUACGUG
rnacentral:rRNA from 1 species